rnacentral:rRNA from 1 species
UACGGGGGGAGCAAGCGUUGUUCGGAUUUACUGGGCGUAAAGGGCGCGUAGGCGGUCGUGACAAGUCACUUGUGAAAUCUCCGGGCUUAACUCGGAACGGUCAAGUGAUACUGUCGGACUAGAGUACAGAAGGGGCAACUGGAAUUCUCGGUGUAGCGGUGAAAUGCGUAGAUAUCAGGAGGAACACCUAUAGCGAAGGCAGCUUGCUGGGACGUUACUGACGCUAAGGCGCGAAAGCGUGGGGAGCGAACAGG